rnacentral:lncRNA from 1 species
GUUGUCGAUCGUGUCAGAGCUCUCGACCUCGAGAGUGAUCGUCUUUCCGGUAAGCGUCUUAACGAAGAUUUGCAUCCCGCCGCGCAAACGAAGGACAAGGUGGAGAGUUGACUCCUUCUGGAUGUUGUAGUCGGCCAAGGUACGGCCGUCUUCGAGUUGUUUUCCGGCGAAGAUGAGACGUUGCUGGUCUGGGGGGAUGCCUUCCUUGUCUUGGAUCUUCGCCUUAACGUUGUCGAUCGUGUCGGAGCUCUCGACCUCGAGAGUGAUUGUCUUGCCG